rnacentral:rRNA from 1 species
GAUGAACGCUAGCGGCAGGCUUAACACAUGCAAGUCGAGGGAGAAGCCCUUUCGGGGGCAGAAACCGGCGCACGGGUGCGUAACGCGUAUGCAACCUACCUUUCACAGGGGGAUAGCCCGAAGAAAUUUGGAUUAAUACCCCAUAAUAUUAUUGGAUGGCAUCAUUUGAUAAUUAAAACUGCGGUGGUGAAAGAUGGGCAUGCGUCCUAUUAGCUAGUUGGAGUGGUAACGGCACCCCAAGGCUACGAUAGGUAGGGGUCCUGAGAGGGAGAUCCCCCACACUGGUACUGAGACAGGGACCAGACUCCUACGGGAGGCAGCAGUGAGGAAUAUUGGUCAAUGGUCGGAAGACUGAACCAGCCAUGCCGCGUGCAGGAAGAAUGCCUUAUGGGUUGUAAACUGCUUUUAUAUGGGAAGAAUAAGGCGUACGUGUACGUUGAUGACGGUACCAUAUGAAUAAGCAUCGGCUAACUCCGUG